rnacentral:rRNA from 1 species
UACGAAGGGGGCUAGCGUUGUUCGGAAUCACUGGGCGUAAAGCGCACGUAGGCGGUCCGAUAAGUCGGAUGUGAAAGCCCUGGGCUCAACCUAGGAAGUGCAUUCGAAACUGUCGGACUUGAGUACGGGAGAGGGUUGCGGAAUUCCCGGUGUAGAGGUGAAAUUCGUAGAUAUCAGGAGGAACACCAGUGGCGAAGGCGGCUUCCUGGACACCAACUGACGCUGAGACGCGAAAGCGUGGGGAGCAAACAGG